UAUACAUGUAUACGCAGAAGUAAGCAAAUUAGCAAUACAGAGAAAAUGCUGUGAGAUACCGACAUACAUAGCUUGCAUGAAGCUGUAAAGAUUAUCCAUAGGCUUAUUCGUUCAUUGAGGUUACUUGGUCCAACUCUUCAACAGCCAAAUACGCAAAUACACUUAUUUAGUCCAUCAACUUCAUUUAGAAAUGGCUAAACUCCAGUGUCUUUUAUUGUCUUUUGCGGCAUUUUGUCUAAUAUUAAACAUGGGGACAGCUUGUCGACCAACAAACGCCAACAAUCCUGUUUGCGGGAAUAAUGGACAGACUUACAUGAACAUGGGGCACCUGUUGUGUGCAAAUUGGAGCAAUCCAGAGUUGAAUAUCAAGGUUUGUCACACAGGAGAAUGUGAUGGUAAAACACCUUGUACGGAAGCGGAUAAAAACUAAAACCAUUUUCGUGAUUCAUUCAACGUUUAAAAAUUGUUUAAAAAAUGUAUAAAAAUAAGCGAUAAUUUUAUCAUUAUAAUUUUAUCAUUCAUUGAAUUUUAAUGUGUGACAUAAAGACAACUUGAAUUUCUACAUUGCUUGGUUGUAUAAUGUUCAAUUAUUUAAGCUAAAAAUGACAUGCUAGUCAGCACGGAUCAAAUUAGGUAAAAUUUGUGAAGCUGGUAAAAAGCAUCGCAUGCACAGCGACAGCAAUUCGGAGCAAGUAUGUAUGUUUUUCUGGCGUGUAGGAAUAGUAAGAAUUUGAGACAGGUUAUACAGGACGUUUUGCGUCAUUCGCUUUAUGUUAAUUCUACUAAACCGAGUAUGAUGUACUUUUCAGAGAAUAAUCAAGUGCUACUUAAUUCUUCUCAUGGUCAAAUGAUAAAUAAUAAUCUAUGGCGUGGUAUAGUAAAUCUACUCCUAUGCUAAUGCUAUGUGUGUCUAGAUAAAAUAUACGUAUGUACAUAUUUAUGUAGGUUGUCACAAGUUCUACGGUUGCGAAGAGAGUCGUGUGAUAAUAGACAAACCACACAGCAAACUUCGAAAAUUUCCUCACCAUGAACAAAAUUUAUUAUUUCAUUUUCGUUUUUACUGUACUAUCGCAAUUGAGUUUAGUAACACCAUGCAAGCCAACUGGUACAUUGGACCCUGUUUGUGGCACAAAUGGGCAAACUUACCGAAAUUCUGGACAUUUAUUUUGUGCAAAUUGGAGCAAUCCUGAUUUGAAAAUCGAAAUCUGCCACAAAGGAGAGUGCAGCGAAGGUGGAAACAUUCCUUGUACAUCAAAUACAAAAAAGAGCGAUUAGAUAAUGCCAGCCAAUCCAAAGACCGUUGAAUAAUAUUUUAUUCUAAAUUUGCACUUAUCUAAAUAAAUGUUUGAUUCAAUAAAUAAAAUACAACCAUCAA